GCGUGUGUGUGUGUAUAUAUAUAUAUAUUUCUAUGUGCACUUUUCUCUCCUCCAUAGAAUGUUAGCUUCUUACAAGCGAGGGUUGUUUCAUCAUAUCUCCCCAGGGCCCAGCGGGGAGCUGGACACAAGGUAGUCCCAGAAGAGACUGCCAAAGAUGGCUGAGUAGGGGGAAGCAUGACAGCCCAGCUCUCUCCUAAAACUGUUCCAACAAAGACUCAAGACAAACAUAUGAAUGGGUAGAGGAACAGAUGGACUUAACUUUCAUCUGAACAGGAAAAUCACUUUAAUAGCUGGAAAGAGGAUGGAUUGGAAUGAGUGGAGACUAGAAGAAGGCAAAACCCACCAGCAGGCUCUGGCAAUAAUCAUGGUGUAAGGUGAUGAGGGCCUGUACUAAAGUGAUGGCCAUUUCAGAGGAGAGAAGGGGGUGUAUUCAAGACAUGCUGCAAAGGUGAGAUUGAUAGGCCUUAGCAACACUUUUGGAUAUAGAGAAGUGA
rnacentral:lncRNA from 1 species